UGAACUCUCCUGGCUGUGACCGUUAAUGUGCUUAAUCAAUGGUACUAACCCUGUUUAGGGCAUGGUUUUACAUUUUAUCAAUGUGAAUCAUGCAUCAUCCUUGUGUUAUGUGGAGGUAUUCCAGAUGUGACGUGAAGGUAGCAGGUGUUUUAUUUCUCUAAGGUUAAUUUAAAUCUUAUGCCACUGAAAAUCACUUAUUGUGUGAAUAAUAUACAAAUAGUGAAAGCAAUGCAAACUGUGGGUGUGAAACCAAGCCAGUCUUGACCUAGACCGAGUAAGUGUCUGGACUGCUGACACAUCUGGGUCUAGACAGGCUUGGUAUCAGGGUGCUCUCUGCAUGUAUACUGGUUUGUUAAUGGGAGAGCCACCAGAGGCAGUAAUAAUUAGAAAUCCCUCUCACGAUGUUGACCUCAUUCAGACAUUCAGCUCAUUGCUUGACAGACUGUCCAUUUAUGUAUCUGACUGAUAUUUUUGCAGACUCACAGCAUAGUAGUAAUCUGUGUUCAUUUAACGUAGGGUCUUCUGAUAGUUUUCCAUGUUUCUCUCUCUCUCUGACUGGAAUUUAGUUUGAUAACAUUUGCAAUGGCUGAUAUUCACUACAUUAUUAAUGCAGUGUUUUAAGUUUGUUUAUUCUUUUAUCUUUCAGUUCACUUUGGGGGCUUUUACUUGUAAACAGGUCAGCGGGAAGGGGUCAAAGGUCCUAAGAUCAAAGAUUGAAUGUGGGAAAAAAACGUAAGACAAGAAUGAGGCACAUUAGGUGUGGAAAGUCAAAAAGGCAGUGUUGUUUGCACAUUGUGUGCCAAUGUGUAAACAUUUGACACAAUGUUAACCUGUAAAGUGCACAUUAACAAUGUUAAAAGUUGAUCUUGACCUUUCUGAACAGGCUGUGGACAAGUCAGGCUAAACCACUUCUGUAAACUGAAGCACUGCCCCAACAAUACUUAACAAGGACACUGUCAUCUUAAAAAGAUUAUUCAGCUGUUUCUCGUUUUUCAUACAUACAAAACAAUACAAAUUUAUAUUAUAAAACAAAAUUACGUUUUUUACUUUUGAAGGUACAAUUCACUGCCAGUAAAGGUUGCCCCAGUGUUUGAGAUAUGGUUUACUAUGAUGACAUGUCUACCAACCACAUCGAUUUAAACAUUUUUAGUGUAAUACAUAUUAUUUACCUUUUACAGAGCAGUACAGAGGAAUGUAGGCUGUAAACCUAAUCUUCACUUUGAAAGUAGAGUGAAGAUUCAGUCUCCUUAGAUGGGGGGUCAUAACUUAGUGAAUUGUACCAGAAACAGCAAACAAAAAGUAAAGGAAAAUGUUUUUCUUUUAUUAAUUUUCUUUCUGUAUAACAGAAAAGCAAUGUAACAGGGUGAAAAAACACAUUUAAAAGAGAUGAAUGCAUUUCCUGAAGAUGCUGAUUGUUGAAGGGAGAGCAACCAGUGUGGGUGUGUGUGUGUCACUGUGCCUCUGUGUGACACUGGAUUGCUUUGUGUACUUUUGGGUGUUUGUUAUUUUCUGUAUGUGUGUGUGUUACUCUGUUGCUGUCUGUAUGUGUGGUACCAUGUUAAUUUUAAUGUUUCUGUUUUAAGCAAUUAGCUCAACAGGACUCAUGCUACCAAGAAGGUCAACCUAUUUAUUAUUAUU